UAGCUCAGGCAGUUGAGCGUGGUGCUGAUAACACUAAGGUCGUGGGUUCGAUCCCCGU
rnacentral:tRNA from 1 species